rnacentral:piRNA from 1 species
UGUAAGAGUUGAAAAGGAGAA